UACGUAGGUGGCGAGCCGUUGUCCGGAUUUACUGGGCGUAAAGGGCGUGCAGGCGGUUUGUUAAGUGCAGGGUGAAAGCUCCCGGCUCAACUUGGGAGAGGUCCUUGCAUACUGGCGAACUCGAGGGAGGCAGAGGAAAGUGGAAUUCCCGGUGUAGUGGUGAUAUGCGUAGAUAUUGGGAAGAACACCAGUGGCGAAGGCGGCUCACUGGCCCGUAACUGACGCUGAGGUGCGAAAGCGUGGGGAGCAAACAGG
rnacentral:rRNA from 1 species